rnacentral:rRNA from 1 species
ACUUAAGCAUAUCAAUAAGCGGAGGAAAAGAAACUAACAAGGAUUCCCCUAGUAACUGCGAGUGAAGAGGGAAGAGCUCAAAUUUAAAAUCUGGCAGUCUUAUGUCUGUCCGAGUUGUAAAUUAGAGAAGCGUUAUCCGCGCUGGCCUGUGCAAAAGUCUCUUGGAAAAGAGCAUCAUAGAGGGUGACAAUCCCGUCUUUGGCACAGACUACCAGGGCUUUUGUGAUGCGUUCUCGAUGAGUCGAGUUGUUUGGGAAUGCAGCUCUAAAUGGGUGGUAAAUUCCAUCUAAAGCUAAAUAUUGGCGAGAAACCGAUAGCGCACAAGUACCGUGAGGGAAAGAUGAAAAGAACUUUGAAAAGAGAGUUAAACAGUACGUGAAAUUGUUGAAAGGGAAACGCUUGAAGUCAGUCGUGUCCUUCAGAAAUCAACCUGACUUUCGUUGGGCGUACUUUCUGUUGGAUGGGUCAGCAUCAAUUUUGAUCGUUGGAUAAAGGCCUCGGGAAUGUGGCAUCUUCGGAUGUGUUAUAGACCUUGGUUCGCAUACAAUGGUUGGGAUUGAGGAACUCAGUGUGACUUAUGUUUGGGGCUUCGGCCUACACUACGCACUUAGGAUGCUGGCAUAAUGGCUUUAAUCGACCCGUCUUGAAACACGGACCAAGGAGUCUAACAUACAUGCGAGUG